GAACGCUGGCGGCAGGCUUAAUACAUGCAAGUCGAGCGGUCUCUCUCGGGAGACAGCGGCGGACGGGUUAGUAACGCGUGGGAACGUGCCCUUUAGUACGGAAUAGCCAUUGGAAACGAUGAUUAAUACCGUAUACGCCCUAUGGGGGAAAGAUUUAUCGCUAAAGGAUCGGCCCGCGUUAGAUUAGGUUGUUGGUGGGGUAAUGGCCUACCAAGCCUACGAUCUAUAGCUGGUUUGAGAGGAUGAUCAGCAACACUGGGACUGAGACACGGCCCAGACUUCUACGGAAGGCAGCAGUAGGGAAUCUUGGACAAUGGGCGAAAGCCUGAUCCAGCCAUGCCGCGUGAGUGAUGAAGGCCCUAGGGUUGUAAAACUCUUUCGCCAGGGAAGAUAAUGACGGUACCUGGUAAAGAAACCCCGGC
rnacentral:rRNA from 1 species